CAGCCCUUGACUCUGCUCUCCCUGGAUGACCUUCAGCUCCUGGAGAAGUUCUGCCUUCCCUUGAGAAGAAUUCUCUGCUUCCCCAGAAGAUGAGACAGGGAGCAGCUGGGACUGGGUUCUGACCAAGGAAGGAAGGAUGCUGAGGGCACAGCUGACUCCCCUCCACUGGCUCCUUCCCCUGAUCCAUGGCCCUGAUGGGGCAACAGCGCUGGGGACUCCUGCAGGUGACAACGCUCAAGUGUUUGCCCACGGGACCUGAGAAGAGGAAGUUGGCACAGCCUGCGCCCCUAGCAUACCUCUCUCAUGGACCC